rnacentral:lncRNA from 1 species
GUUAUUUCGUAAUGAUGAUUUGCCUAUUCUUUAUAUGGUUUUAACAUUACGUGAUGAUGUUAUAAAAUUUGACGAUUCUACACUACUUGAUGUGUUUAAUUCAUUAUUUGAAAAGAUGUUUUCAAUGAACAUAAUAAAAGAGGAACGAAAGAUACAAGAGGGACAGUCAAACUCAUAAAUCGAAAAUAAACUGACAACACCAUGGCUAAAAAUAAAAAGUUCAAACAGACAAACAAUAGUACACAUGAUACAACAUAGAAAACUAAAGAAUAAACAACACGAACCGCAUUUAUAAUUAUACCUUCACAUUUCACACAAUUAGUUGUUAGCCCAUUCGAACAAAAAGAACUGCAUUGUUAGCUGUUCAUUAUUUUGAACAAAAGCCUAAUGAAAAAAUUAUAAAGUAUGCAC